rnacentral:rRNA from 1 species
AACGAACGCUGGCGGCGUGCCUAACACAUGCAAGUCGAGCGCGAAAGUCCCUUCGGGGGCAACCCUGGCGACGAGUGGCGAACGGGUGAGUAAUACAUCGGAACGUGCCCAGUUGUGGGGGAUAGCUCGGCGAAAGCCGGAUUAAUACCGCAUACGACCUACGGGUGAAAGCGGGGGAUCGCAAGACCUCGCGCAAUUGGAGCGGCCGAUGGCAGAUUAGCUUGUUGGUGGGGUAAAAGCUUACCAAGGCGACGAUCUGUAGCUGGUCUGAGAGGACGACCAGCCACACUGGGACUGAGACACGGCCCAGACUCCUACGGGAGGCUG